AGCUGGCCAAGAGUCCGCAGGAUGCAGUGGACGAAGGUGUUGGGGCUGGGGCUGGGGGCUGCUGCCCUCUUGGGGCUGGGGAUCAUCCUGGGCCACUUUGCCAUCCCCAAAAAAGCCAACUCACCGGCCCCCCAGGACCUGGACCUGGCGAUCCUGGAGACAGUCAUGGGGCAGCUGGAUGCCCACAGGAUCCGGGAGAACCUCAGGUGAGAGGUGGGGCCAUCUGCUCCUCUGUUUGCCAGAGGCCCCCUCCCUGAUGCUGGCCCUGCCCCUCCCUCUGUCCACCCCGCAGAGAACUCUCCAGGGAGCCACACCUGGCCUCCAGCCCUCGGGAUGAGGACCUGGUGCAGCUGCUGCUGCAGCGCUGGAAGGACCCAGGGUCAGGCCUGGACUCGGCCGAGGCCUCCACAUACGAGGUGCUGCUGUCCUUCCCUAGCCAGGAGCAGCCCAACGUCGUGGACGUCGGUGAGGUCCUGCCCAGCCUUGGGAAUGCCCAGAGGGGGAGCUGCUGGGCCCAGCCAUGACACUGCCACCCCCUCCAACAGUGGGCCCCACUGGGGACAUCAUCCACUCCUGCCACCGGACUGAGGAGAACGUGACCGGGGAGCAAGGGGGGCCAGAUGUGGUACAACCCUAUGCCGCCUAUGCUCCUUCUGGAACCCCACAGGGCCUCCUCGUCUAUGCCAACCAGGGUGCGGAAGAAGACUUUAAGGAGCUACAGACUCAGGGCAUCAAACUCGAAGGCACCAUUGCCCUGACUCGCUAUGGGGGUGUAGGGCGUGGGGCCAAGGCUGUGAACGCUGCCAAGCAUGGGGUAGCCGGGGUGCUGGUGUACACAGACCCUGCCGACAUCAACGAUGGGCUGAGCUCACCCAAUGAAACCUUUCCCAACUCCUGGUACCUGCCCCCCUCAGGAGUGGAGCGAGGCUCCUACUAUGAGUAUUUUGGGGACCCUCUGACUCCCUACCUUCCAGCCGUCCCCUCUUCCUUCCGCGUGGACCUUGCCAAUGUCUCUGGAUUUCCCCCAAUUCCUACACAGCCCAUUGGCUUCCAGGAUGCAAGAGACCUGCUCUGUAACCUCAACGGAACUUUGGCCCCAGCCACCUGGCAGGGAGCACUGGGCUGCCGCUACAGGUUGGGUCCCGGCUUCCGGCCUGACGGAGACUUCCCAGCAGACAGCCAGGUGAGUGUGAGCGUCUACAACCGGCUGGAGCUGAGGAACUCUUCCAACGUCCUGGGCAUCAUCCGCGGGGCUGUGGAGCCUGGUGAGCCCUCCUCUUGCUGCCUGCACCCCAGACCCCUGCUCUGCUCUGGAUGCUGCUGCCACUGUGUCCUCAUCUAGCCCUGCCCUUGCCACCACCCAGCCCAGCUCCCCCUGCCCACCUCUCCCUCUCUUCUGGUUCUCUGCCCCUUUUCCUCUGGCCAGAUCGCUACGUGCUAUAUGGGAACCACCGAGACAGCUGGGUGCACGGGGCUGUGGACCCCAGCAGUGGCACCGCCGUCCUCCUGGAGCUCUCCCGUGUCCUGGGGACCCUGCUGAAGAAGGGCACCUGGCGUCCUCGCAGAUCAAUCGUGUUUGCGAGCUGGGGGGCUGAGGAGUUUGGGCUCAUUGGCUCCACGGAAUUCACAGAAGAGUUCUUCAACAAGCUGCAGGAGCGCACGGUGGCCUACAUCAACGUGGACAUCUCGGUGUUUGCCAACGCUACCCUUAGGGUGCAGGGGACGCCCCCUGUCCAGAGUGUCGUCUUCUCUGCAACCAAAGAGAUCCGCUCACCAGGCCCUGGCGACCUGAGCAUCUACGACAACUGGAUCCGGUACUUCAACCGCAGCAGCCCGGUGUACGGCCUCGUCCCCAGAGCAAGACUUCAGCCAGGAUCUACCCCACCUACCACACAGCCUUUGACACCUUUGACUAUAUGGACAAGUUUUUGGACCCAGGCUUCAGCAGCCAUCAGGCUGUGGCCCGGACAGCGGGGAGUGUGAUUCUCCGGCUCAGUGACAGCUUCUUCCUGCCCCUCAAAGUCAGUGACUACAGUGAGACACUCCGCAGCUUCCUGCAGGCAGCCGAGCAAGACCUCGGGGCUCUGCUGGAGCAGCACAGCAUCAGCCUGGGUAUGCAUAGCCGUGACCCUGAGGCAUGGGGAGCCCUGCACCCCCAGGACUAAGCCACUGCUUGUUCCUCACAGGGCCUCUGGUGACUGCAGUGGAGAAGUUUGAGGCAGAAGCUUCAGCCUUGGGCCAACGCAUAUCAACACUGCAGAAGGGCAGCCCUGACCCCCUGCAGGUCCGGAUGCUCAAUGACCAGUUGAUGCUCUUGGAACGGACCUUUCUGAACCCUAGAGCCUUCCCAGAGGAACGCUACUACAGCCAUGUGCUCUGGGCACCUCGCACGGGCUCUGUAGCCACAUUCCCGGGCCUAUCCAAUGCCUGCUCCAGGGCCAGGGACACAGCUUCUGGAUCUGAAGCUUGGGCUGAGGUCCAGAGACAGCUCAGCAUUGUGGUGACAGCCCUGGAGGGUGCAGCAGCCACCCUGAGGCCUGUGGCUGACCUCUGACCCCAGCCCUCUUUCUUCAGCCCUCUCUUUACCCC
rnacentral:sRNA from 1 species